UGGCUGAGGAAGAGGCUGGCUGCUUCUUUGACACACCACAACCCCCAGGUUCGUCUGCCAGCAGCAGCAGCAGUGAGGGAAACAGGGACUCAGCUUCUUCCAGCUCCAGGGGAGCUUGCUGCUGGGCACACAGGGUUAUCUGAGGUCUCCAUCUAACUCCAUUUACCCUCUCACUGUGCUUCUCCGGCUGGGGCGAAGGAAAUCCAGUACAGGUUGGCCUGAAGCCCACACUCCUCCCGCUUCUUCCUGUCAAGCGCUGAGGUUCCAGAUGUGGACCAUCAAGCCCAGCUCGGGCUUUCCUUCAAGGUUGGAAAGCACAGGACCGCCUUUCUGCCCUGAUGACCAAGAAGCAGUUCCCGGGCGGGCGGCUUGGCAGUCCUGCCAUCCUCUGCGAGUGCUCCUUUCAGAAGCGUUGGCCUUGGAAGAGUGCCGUUCAGGGAACACAAACUCUUCACUUAAACAAAACAAAACAAC
ensembl:lincRNA Gm37799 predicted gene, 37799